AGACCCCAGGUAAGGCGGGAUCACCCGCUGAGUUUAAGCAUAUCAAUAAGCGGAGGAAAAGAAACAAACAAGGAUUCCCUUAGUAACGGCGAGCGAACCGGGAAAAGCCCAGCUUAAAAAUCAGACGUCUUUGGCGUUCGAAUUGUAGUCUGGAGAAGCGUCCUCAGCGAUGGACCAGGCCCAAGUUCCCUGGAAAGGGGCACCAGAGAGGGUGAGAGCCUUGUCGUGCCCGGACCCUGUCGCACCACGAGGCGCUGUCUACGAGUCGGGUUGUUUGGGAAUGCAGCCCCAAUCAGGCGGUAAAUUCCGUCCAAGGCUAAAUAUGGGCGAGAGACCGAUAGCGAACAAGUACCGCGAGGUAAAGGUGAAAAGGACUUUGAAGAGAGAGUCAAAGAGUGCUUGAAAUUGUCGGGAGGGAAGCGGAUGGGGGCCGGCGAUUCAUCCCGGUCGGAUGCGGAAUGGAGCAAUCCGGUUCGCUGAUAGAUUCGGGCCGUGGACCAACACAGAUUAAGGUGGUGACCUAAGCCCGGGCAUUUGUUAUGCCCGCAGAGAUGUCGCUGCCUUAAUCGUGGUCUGCAGCACACGCCUCACAGCGUGCCUCGGCAUCUGCGUGCUCAGGGUGUCGGGCUGUGGGCUCCCCAUUCGACCCGUCUUGAAACACGGAACAAGGAGUUUGACAUGUGUGCGAGUCAACGGGUGAGUAAACCCGUAAGGCGCAAGGAAGCUGAUUGGCUGGAUCCCUCACGGGUGCACAACCGACCGACCUUGAUCUUCUGAGAAGGGUUCGAGUGUGAGCAUGCCUGUCGGGACCCGAAAGAUGGUGAACUAUGCC
rfam:Brassica napus, WGS project CCCW01000000 data, contig: 42871